AUUGAACGCUGGCGGCAGGCCUAACACAUGCAAGUCGAACGGUAACAGGAAACAGCUUGCUGUUUCGCUGACGAGUGGCGGACGGGUGAGUAAUGUCUGGGAAACUGCCUGAUGGGGGGGGAUAACUACUGGAAACGGUAGCUAAUACCGCAUAACGUCGCAAGACCAAGGAGGGGGACCUUCGGGCCUCUUGCCAUCGGAUGUGCCCAGAUGGGAUUAGCUAGUAGGUGGGGUAACGGCUCACCUAGGCGACGAUCCCUAGCUGGUCUGAGAGGAUGACCAGCCACACUGGAACUGAGACACGGUCCAGACUCCUACGGGAGGCAGCAGUGGGGAAUAUUGCACAAUGGGCGCAAGCCUGAUGCAGCCAUGCCGCGUGUAUGAAGAAGGCCUUCGGGUUGUAAAGUACUUUCAGCGGGGAGGAAGGGAGUAAAGUUAAUACCUUUGCUCGUUGACGUUACCCGCAGAAGAAGCACCGGCUAACUCCGUG
rnacentral:rRNA from 1 species